rnacentral:snRNA from 1 species
AUCGCUUCUCGGCCUUUUGGCUAAGAUCAAGUGUAGGAAGAGCUUUUCUGGCCUAGAAGCCAGAAGACGUUGGCACUCCUGUUAUUGAGAACAGAUAGAGCAACAAAAUAUAUAGUGUGAUAUUGAACUAUAACCUCAAUUGUGUAUAGAACC